UUCCGGUUGAUCCUGCCGGACCUUACUGCUAUCGGGGUGAGACUAAGCCAUGCAAGUUGCGCGCUUCUAAGCUAUGGUAGUGGAGCAGCGUAAGGCUCAGUAAAACAUGGUUAACUUGCCCUCGAGACGGGAAUACCCCCGGGAAACUGGGGAUAAAUCCCGAUAGGCGAGAUGGCUUGGAACGAUAUCUCGUCUAAAAAACGUUAAGACCAUGCUUCUUUUCGUUGCUCGAGGAUAGGACCAUGUCCGAUCAGGCUGUUGGCGAGGUAACGGCUCACCAAACCUAUAACCGGUACGGGCCGUGAGAGCGGGAGCCCGGAGAUGGAUCCUGAGACAAGGAUCCAGGCCCUACGGGGCGCAGCAGGCGCGAAAACUCCGCAAUGCGCGAAAGCGUGACGGGGUCACCCCGAGUGUCACCUGCUGAAGGUAACUUUUCCUCAGUCUAACCAGCUGAGGGUAAUAAGGGGAGGGCAAGUCUGGUGUCAGCCGCCGCGGUAAUACCAGCUCCCCGAGUGGUGAGGACGAUUAUUGGGCCUAAAGCGUCCGUAGCUGGCUUGAUAAGUUUCCCGUUAAAUCCGACGAUCCAAUCGUCGGGCUGCGGGAAAUACUGUUAAGCUAGGAGGCGGGAGAGGCCGGCGGUACUUUUGGGGUAGGGGUGAAAUCCUAUAAUCCCAAGAGGACCACCAGUGGCGAAGGCGACCGGCCAGAACGCACUCGACGGUGAGGGACGAAAGCUGGGGGAGCAAACCGGAUUAGAUACCCGGGUAGUCCCAGCUGUAAACGAUGCGGGCUAAGUGUCGGGAUGGCCAUAGAGCCAUCUCGGUGCUGCAGGGAAGCCGUUAAGCCCGCCGCCUGGGGAGUACGGCCGCAAGGUUGAGACUUAAAGGAAUUGGCGGGGGAGCACCACAAGGGUGAAGCCUGCGGUUUAAUUGGAAUCAACGCCGG
rnacentral:rRNA from 1 species